GGUAGAAAAUGAUCAGCGUGACUAUCUUGGAAUUUGUGGGCAUGUCGAAGAGUUCUCUGUCACUGGGAGAUUUUUAAUGGCCCCUCAGAAGCCAGUUUCACCUGGGCGGCCAUAACUGAGAGGUGCCAAAUUCAAAGGCAUAUGGGGUAAGUACCUGUUCCACAAGCACACCCAGAAGUGCCACACCACUCAGUUCACUGAGAACCUCCCAUGAGACCCAAUCCACGGUGUUCUCUAAGUUGUACCACAGUACUGGGGUAGUUAGUUUCUUUCCAUUCAGUUUGCCCAUUAAAUGAGUGAAGGCUUAGCUGUUCUAGGGAGUCAAUCUUUGAAUUUCAAUACAACUUAGGUUAAGAGUACCCAAGUCCUUUAAUAAAUAAAAGAGAUCCUGAUUUUAGAGCAUGUCCAAAUUUAGAUGUGUACUGGAUUCUUUAAGCCAGACAGGCUCAUAGACUGUAUUUACCAAAACUAGCCACAAGAAUAUCUCCUAUUCCACAUACUCCUUACUACGUGACUUUAAUAUUCCCCCCAUGAGAACAUAGAACCUAUGCUCUCUCUCCUUGAGUCUGGACAGGCUUGUGACUAAAGCAGAAGUGACACUAUGUGACCUCCAAUGCUAAAUAAUGGAAGGCCACACCACUUCUUCCUGGUUCUUUUGGGAUGCUCACUCUUGUGAUCCACCUGCCACACUGUGAGGAAGCUCAAACUAACCCAUGUGGAAAAACUCAUUAAUCACGUACAGAUGUUUCAGACAACAGCCAUGCUGAAAUCUCAGCCAAGAGCCAGAAUCAACCACCAGUCACAAAAGCUGAGAUAUCUCCAGUUGAUUUCAGCCCCUAUCCCCUAAUCCCCACAAACACCUGUAGAUUUCCCAGGUGAGGCACAUCUUCCCAGGUGAGGCCCCAGACAUCGUAGAAUAGAGACAAGCCAUCCUCUCUGUGUCCUGCAUGAAUCCCUGAAGCACAGAAUCUGAGCAUAAUAAAAUGCUUGUUUUAUGCCAUUAAGUUGGGAUGGUUUGUUAUGCAGCAAUAGGAAGAGAAACAGCCUUUCAUCUACAUUGUGAUAGAGGAAUUGCUCACGAAAAGGAAAUAUGGCAAACACCAGGAACGGAACCCAAGCAUCCUACACACUGACUAAUACACAAGUUAAAACAAGAGUCUAAAGCAACACUCUUGUUAUAACACACUGGAUUAGUCCAUUUUCACGCUGCUGAUAAAGACAUACCUAAGACUGGGUAAUUUAUAAAGAAAAAGAGAUUUAACGGACUCACAGUUCCAUCUGGCUGGGAAGUCCUCACAACUACGGCAGAAGGUGAAAGGCAUAUCUUACAUGGCAGCAGGCAAGAGAGAAUGAGAAUCAAGUGAAAGAGGAAACCCCUUAUAAA